rnacentral:rRNA from 1 species
GACGAACGCUGGCGGCGUGCCUAAUACAUGCAAGUCGAACGAGAGCGACCGGUGCUUGCACUGGUCAAUCUAGUGGCGAACGGGUGAGUAACACGUGGGUAACCUGCCCAUCAGAGGGGGAUAACAUCCGGAAACGGAUGCUAAAACCGCAUAGGUCUUCGAGCCGCAUGGCUUGAAGAGGAAAAGAGGCGCAAGCUUCUGCUGAUGGAUGGACCCGCGGUGCAUUAGCUAGUUGGUGAGGUAACGGCUCACCAAGGCCGUGAUGCAUAGCCGACCUGCGAGGGUGAUCGGCCACAUUGGGACUGAGACACGGCCCAAACUCCUACGGGAGGCAGCAGUAGGGAAUCGUCCGCAAUGGACGCAAGUCUGACGGAGCAACGCCGCGUGAGUGAAGAAGGUUUUCGGAUCGUAAAACUCUGUUGUUAGAGAAGAACAAGUGCUAGAGUAACUGUUAGCGCCUUGACGGUAGCUAACCAGAAAGCCACGGCUAACUACGUG